GACUACGGCCAUGUCACCCUGAACACUCCUGAUCUCGUCUGAUCUUGGAAGCUAAGCAGGGUUGGGCCUGGUUAGUACUUGGAUGGGAGACCACCUAGGAAUAUCAGGUGCUGUAGGCU
rnacentral:rRNA from 1 species